rnacentral:rRNA from 1 species
UACAGAGGUCUCAAGCGUUGUUCGGAAUCAUUGGGCGUAAAGGGUGCGUAGGCGGCGCGGUAAGUCGGGUGUGAAAUCUCGGAGCUUAACUCCGAAACUGCAUUCGAUACUGCCGUGCUUGAGGACUGGAGAGGAGACUGGAAUUUACGGUGUAGCGGUGAAAUGCGUAGAUAUCGUAAGGAAGACCAGUGGCGAAGGCGGGUCUCUGGACAGUUCCUGACGCUGAGGCACGAAGGUCAGGGGAGCAAACGGG